CAGAUGCAUCAUUAUCAGCGGAUAAGAAGAACCACCCUCACUGAGUGAAAUGAGCAGUGAGGGCAGUAAAAAAAUGGCACCAGAUGGCAGUACAAACAAGAGAGACCCAAAAGAACGUGGGAGUAUCAGUGCACCUUGGGCAAAACCGUUGGCAUGGGUUAAGGCAGAAAUCAGCAAUCUGAAAAAAGGGCAAUGUCAACUGAUAGGGCAGAUCCAACGUCUCUCCGAAGAAGUGAAAUCCUCACGAAACUCCCAAGUAUUGCCACACACACCUCCACCUGCCUUGCCACCAGUGGUUGUAGAGAAUUUGGAAAAAGAGUUAAAGAAAACCCAAGAUACGUUGCAGGCUUUGAAUCAGCGUCAGGCAAAUCUUACUGCUUCAUACGAGUC